AUGACUUGAACUUAUGAGUAGUAAAAUAACGAUCCAGGGUGAUGCAGUACUCCUCACUGGCAAUGUAAGACGAAUUUUUGAACAGGUAAAGGUUGCUCUGAAGGUAACCCGCCUACUUUGUGGGAUGCCUGGGAGUCGUGAUCUGCCCG
rnacentral:snRNA from 1 species